CUGGGGCUGGAGGUUAGAGGAACUCCACGUAGUUCUCUGGGAUGAGGCCAGUCUUUCCAUUCAGAGUCCCCUCCAACCAGCCAGGCUCCUGAGACGGGUGAACUGUACGGGAAGAGAGAGAAGAGAUGAGGUCACGGGCAGCCCGGGGGUGGAUGUGCUGUGCACUGGAAGAUGUAGGAGACAGUGUCUCAAUCUGAUUUGGACUCACAGCAACGAUCCUGCUUCGAUAUUCCAACCCUGGGGUUAGCAGCCUGAGCCACCAUGUGCAGCCUGACCUACCUGCUCUGUGUCGCCAAGCCCACCUCUCAUGUCCUCACGACCCACUCUCCAUGCCGCACACUCCGAAUGCUUCCCUUCUGUUCCACCCACGGCCACCCUUACUUUUCUACACUAGAGCUUUUCCUAUAAACAAGUCAAAAGGCCAUCUGCUUCCUCUACUGUAACUUUCAAAGCUCCCAUCCUUUUGAUUUUUUUUCAACAACACAGAAUAUAGAUCUAUUUCUGUUAUGUCACAAUCCCUCUCUAGGGGAAAUGUGGAGUGAAGAGA